GUUGAGGGUCUCCAGGCCUGGAGUUGGCUGGCAGGAGUUGAGCAGGAAGCAGGUGGGCACGCAGGGCUGAGGAAUGUGGCAGGGUGGGGGACAGUUGUCACAGCAGGGCUGAGUGAAGGUGGUGAGGUUGAGGGUCUCCAGGCCCGGAGUUGGCUGGCAGGAGUUGAGCAGGAAGCAGGUGCUGGGCAGGCAGACUCCACAGCGGCAGGAUUUGUCGGAGGAGCAGAUGGUGGUGGCAGGCCCAGUGGGGAC
rnacentral:lncRNA from 1 species